CUGAGACAGACAAUAUUCUGUUACAUUGUAGCAAAAUGGCGACUGUCAUUCACAACCCCCUGAAAGCGAACUCAGUUUCUGUCAGAAUCCAAAGGGAGGCAUCGUCACAGGGUAAACCUUGAAGACAGUCCAGUCUGCAAACCUCCUGGGGGACAUCCUAGAUCCACAGAACAACAGGGAUCCAUGGUGAUCGAGUUGGGGCGGUUACAUCGUCCUUUGACUCCUUGGAAGCAUGCAGUCACAAACCCAGGGACUGUGCUCACCUCAGGAUGCUGUGAAAUGAGGCUUGGGGACCAGUUCUACAAGGAAGCCAUUGAGCACUGUCGGAGCUACAACUCGAGGCUGUGUGCAGAGCGGAGCGUGAGGCUCCCCUUCCUGGACUCGCAGACUGGGGUGGCUCAGAACAACUGCUACAUCUGGAUGGAGAAGAGGCACCGAGGCCCAGGCCUUGCCCCGGGCCAGCUGUAUACUUACCCCGCCCGCUGCUGGCGUAAGAAGCGACGAUUGCACCCCCCAGAGGACCCAAAGCUGCGACUCCUGGAGAUAAAACCGGAAGUAGAACUGCCCCUGAAGAAAGAUGGAUUUACCUCUGAGAGCACCACACUGGAAGCCUUGCUUCGUGGUGAGGGAGUGGAGAAGAAGGUGGAUGCCAGAGAAGAGGAGAGCAUCCAGGAGAUACAGAGGGUUUUGGAAAAUGAUGAAAAUGUAGAAGAAGGGAAUGAAGAGGAAGAUUUGGAAGAAGAUAUUCCCAAGCGCAAGAACAGGACCAGAGGACGGGCUCGUGGCUCUGCAGGCGGCAGGAGGAGGCAUGAUGCGGCCUCUCAGGAAGACCAUGACAAACCCUACGUCUGUGACAUCUGUGGCAAGCGCUACAAGAACCGGCCGGGACUCAGCUACCACUAUGCUCACACUCACCUGGCCAGCGAGGAGGGAGAUGAAGCCCAAGACCAGGAGACCCGAUCCCCACCCAACCACAGAAACGAGAACCAUAGACCCCAGAAAGGACCAGACGGGACAGUCAUUCCUAAUAACUACUGUGACUUCUGCUUGGGGGGCUCCAACAUGAACAAGAAGAGUGGAAGGCCCGAAGAACUUGUGUCCUGUGCAGACUGUGGACGCUCUGCUCAUUUGGGAGGAGAAGGCAGGAAGGAGAAGGAGGCAGCGGCCGCAGCACGGACCACGGAGGACUUAUUCGGUUCCACGUCAGAAAGUGACACCUCAACUUUCUACGGCUUUGAUGAGGACGAUUUGGAAGAGCCUCGCUCCUGUCGAGGACGCCGCAGUGGCCGGGGUUCACCCACAGCAGAUAAAAAGAGCAGCUGCUGAGCGCAUGGGACAGACUGUCUGGCCAAUUAGCCUCCCCGCCCCUGACUCUUGUCAUUGUCUAGUUCUGAUAUAUAUUUUUAAAUGAAAGACGACUUGGGCAUUUCCCUUUAUCCUUGCUUUUAUCUUCUGCCUUCCAUGUGUCCCUCCCCCUCCUAGCAUCCUUCUAUUUUGGGUACCACAGAAGCACAAACUACUGAGAACCAGGGAAGAGCAGGAUGAGAGUCCUCUGGGGAGCAAUGGCAUCAUGGCGGGCUCUUAUCCCUAGAAGUAGGAAAAAUUAAGUGGAUUUUCUUUCACCGGGGGGAGGGCAUCUUUUUGACAUGAGCAGUUGAUUUUCUGUUUUCAAGAGAAGAGGAACGCAAGGUUUGAAAACAAAGAACAAAUAAUGUUAACAAUAUUUAUUUAUAAAUAACUAUUAUUAGAUGAGAGAGAGAGAGAGAGAGAGACAGAGAGAGAGAGAGAGAGAGACAGAGAGAGAGAGAGAGAGGAGAGAAAGAGAGAGGAGAGAGGAGGAGAGAGAGAGAAUGGCCACUGUGUGUGUUGUGUGUGUGUGUGUGUUGUGUGUGUGUGUUGUGUGUGUGUUGUGUGUGUGUGUUGUGUGUGUGUGUGUGUGUGUGUGUGUGUGUGUGUCUGUAGAAUUUCUUCAAUGGGAGUUGGUGGCUCCACAGAGCAGACCCCUCCCCAUGUUUCCUCCAUGACCUUUCCAUCUUCCUGCUUGUGCGAAAAUGGCAACCAUCCCAGAGAAGCCUGGGGCCACUUACAUCUGGCCUCCCUCCAGUGCUGGCCCUGAGCAGCAGUGGUUGCUCCCCUCGACCCCUCUCCUCUCUCCUUGUUGCUGGGUUUCCCUCACUUUCCUCCUGGCAAAGAUCAGCUUCCACAGAAUGGAAUGUCAGCCAAUCACAGGCUCAGCUCUGACAGAGCAACUGAGGCCGGCGCUCCUGGAAGGAAGAGUGGCACUACACAGUGCAUCUCCCUCCCCUCGCCCCGGUGUAAGAACAUGUAGCCACCCAUUGGACGAUGGCGUCUUCCAUAUUUCUUCUACUUUUUAUAGUGCCUGCCAGGCACUUUGUUUUAUCUUUCCAAUAGCAUUUCCUGAAAUAAACCAAAGCAACACUUGGUCCGAGGCCUCAGGGAUAGAGAAGACUGUCCGUCCAUUGACAGUCCCUGAGAACAGAACAACUGCGAGGCCCUGCUUAAACAGGUGUCAUUUUCCGUUCCGAAGACUGAGGGGGUCAGAGAGUAAGCUCACUACAGCGCCGGGAAUGAGGAAUAUGCAUUUAAUUUUUAAAGUCCACUCUGUGAGCCAGGAACUGCGCAUCCUUCAAGCAAGCCAUUCUUGAAGAAGGUGAAGAGAAUCCAGACGAUGAGCCUCUCCUCUUCCGCUUCCUCCUCCUCCUCUCCCGCCCAGCCCUUCCUGAGCGUGGAUCUCAACUAAUGCUGCAGUCGGCAGGGAUUGGAUGGAAAAGCCUCCAGCGUCUCUCAGCUCAGCUCAGCUCAGCUCAAAGUUUUGGAAAUGGCUCAAGUUUGUGCAAUAAGAAGAUUUUAAUUUUAUAUUUUUCCCUUUUAAACCUCUUCAUUACCUUUGCUUGGGAUGCCUGUGAGAAAGUACCCAGCGCAGUGUGGAUAUUGCUCUGCAAUACAAACAACAACACAAACUGACAAAGACAAAAAGAGCGAACUAUUUUAUUUAUUUCAAUAUUUAAAAGAGAGAAGGUGCUGCCAUUGCACUGUCUUUUGGUUAAAAUGCCAUCUACUUCAGAGGUUAAAAAAAAAUUUUUGUGAAGACCUGAACAAGAGUGCUUACUGUAACAUAAAGGUGUCAUGGUGACGCCAAGGAAAAGUACCCCACAUUUUUAAUAAGAAAAUAAAGAUCAACUCUGCUCUCUCAGGCUUGUGAGAAAGCAUUCGUGUAUGUGCUUUAGGUAUUUUUUUGUCUUUUUUUUUUUUUUCAAAUUUCUGCGAGUUGGAUGUGGUAAGUGAGGAGUGGUCAGUUCUUCCAAAGUCCUCUGGAAAGUAUUGUUGACAUUAAAUAAUUAUGUGUUAGGAUCUGACUGAAAUAAAUUAGCCCCAAACUAGCAGUGUGUCCCCCUCCCAACUGCCCCUUACUUCAGAUGAACCCCAUUGAUCUGAAUGUAAAACUACGGCUUGUCUAUCUUGUCUCAUGAGGCCUGACUCAGGAAGGAAUGCUACCCACUGACUGAGGGAAUUGCUGCAAAGUUCAACAGCUCCAAACAGAAAUGAUUUUGUGUAGAGUAAUUCAGUGAACGAACAAACAACUAUAACGACAGUCAGGAGUAGGAGUAAUCAGUGGCGGAGAGGGCAUGGCUGAGUUAGGUGACAGCUCCUCGACUUGGCCAGGAGAGUGGUGGGGCGCAGAUUUCAGAGGUCUGAGAGGCUAGAGUUGCUCCAGAGAGUAAGGAGGGUGAGCAUUCUGUGUGUGUCCUUUAUGGCUGUUAGGGCCGAUGGAAUGGAAUUCGGUAUCCUAUGUUUGACCUAGCCCAGGAGGUCUGCUGACUGUCUGGGCUACUGGGUUCUACCUCUUGGCUUCUACUUAGCUUGUCUUUUACAUGUCCAGAGCAGAGUCAUGGAUGGCAUAGAUAGGACUUAAGGCUGCAAAGUCUCGUCAGCCAAAGUCCUUGAGCCACAGUAUUAUUAAAAUGUCUCAGCCUGAGAAUAAAGCUCAUCUGCCAUUGAAAGGGAAGGGUAGACAGGCAGACUUUCCAUUAGACCCGUCAGGUUUCCCACUCAAGAGAAGGGGGAUGUCACCAAGAGUGUCUUACUAUCAUUUUCUGGUAGAAAAUGUCCCUUGUCAAAAAUGUUAAUUACAAUAAUAAUCUGUUCUCCAACCCACAGUCACAAGUUAUGAUAUAUGUAGAAUUGUGAUAAAGCUUUGCGACGAUGUAGGGUUUGUGUGACGUUCGUGUAAGUUUCUUCUAAAUAAAACACUGUUUUUGAUGGUCUUA